CCACCCUUUAAUGUUUGAUGUUCUAACGUGGACCCGUGAUCCGGGUUGCGGACAGUGUCUGGUGGGUAGUUUGACUGGGGCGGUCUCCUCCUAAAGAGUAACGGAGGAGCACGAAGGUUGGCUAAUCCUGGUCGGACAUCAGGAGGUUAGUGCAAUGGCAUAAGCCAGCUUGACUGCGAGCGUGACGGCGCGAGCAGGUGCGAAAGCAGGUCAUAGUGAUCCGGUGGUUCUGAAUGGAAGGGCCAUCGCUCAACGGAUAAAAGGUACUCCGGGGAUAACAGGCUGAUACCGCCCAAGAGUUCAUAUCGACGGCGGUGUUUGGCACCUCGAUGUCGGCUCAUCACAUCCUGGGGCUGAAGUAGGUCCCAAGGGUAUGGCUGUUCGCCAUUUAAAGUGGUACGCGAGCUGGGUUUAGAACGUCGUGAGACAGUUCGGUCCCUAUCUGCCGUGGGCGCUGGAGAACUGAGGGGGGCUGCUCCUAGUACGAGAGGACCGGAGUGGACGCAUCACUGGUGUUCGGGUUGUCAUGCCAAUGGCACUGCCCGGUAGCUAAAUGCGGAAGAGAUAAGUGCUGAAAGCAUCUAAGCACGAAACUUGCCCCGAGAUGAGUUCUCCCUGAGACUUAGAGUCUCCUGAAGGAACGUUGAAGACGACGACGUUGAUAGGCCGGGUGUGUAAGCGCAGCGAUGCGUUGAGCUAACCGGUACUAAUGAACCGUGAGGCUUAACCUUACA
rnacentral:rRNA from 1 species